UCACGCCUACGGGAGGCAGCAGUGGGGGAUAUUGCACAAUGGGGGAACCCUGAUGCAGCGACGCCGCGUGGGUGAAGGAGCGUUUCGGCGCGUAAAGCCCUAUCGGCAGGGAAGAAGAUGACGGUACCUGACCAAGAAGCCCCGGCUAACUACGUGCCAGCAGCCGCGGUAAUACGUAGGGGGCAAGCGUUAUCCGGAUUUACUGGGUGUAAAGGGGUCGCAGACGGCAAUGCAAGCCAGGAGUGAAAGCCCGGGGCCCAACCCCGGGCCUGCUCUUGGAACUUCAUGGCU
rnacentral:rRNA from 1 species